ACAGAAGCCUUCAGAAUGAAGACCCAAAGAUACAGGGCAAAUUGUCCAUUUUUAUGCUUAGGUUCAACAAAGUAUAGACAGGCAUGUAGAAAUAUGACAGGACAAAAGGGUGUUAUCUAAUGUUAAUAGACCAAGUGAGGAAACCCGGCAAGCCCUGUCUAUCUAGAUUCUCUUGGCCUCUCUGAGCAUACAUUCCUUCCUUCUUCCUUCCCCUGGAUAUGGGGCAUGACCUUCUCUGCAAUGGGGGUCUUAUUACCUACAGUCAAACAAGUAACAAUGAUCAUCCUUAUAAUCUGGACUGUGGUUUUAAAAUACAAAGCGGAGUGGAUGGUGCCCACCCACGUGGAGAGGGAAAUCUACUUCGCUGAGUCCACCAAUUCAAAUGCUGACCUCAUCAGGAAAUAUCCUCAUAGACACACCCAGGAAUAAUGUUUAAUCUGGGCACUCCAUGGCCCAGUCAAGUUGACACAUAGAAUUAACCAUCCCGGGAACUGCACCUGGUGACAAAAUUAUAAAGAAAUCAAGAAGGAUGAAAAUUGUGGAAUUCGAAGUGAUUCAGAAACAUGUCAUCAUUCGCAAGAGGCAUGCGCUACUCUUAAAAAUAGGCCGAAAUUCAUCAACUAUUAAAUAACUGCGAACCUCAUUACAUAACGUGGACGGACGGGGCUUGAGGCAACCAGCAGGUGGAGGAAUUUCCAAAGCUAAGACACCGCGGGCUGCAAACCCGGCUUGGGAACCGGACAACGGUGAAGACGGUGGAUCCAUACCCACAGAAACCGAAGACGUUUGUUGACCAGCUCCAAGUUAUGCAGGAAAGACUAUUUUGGGUUAGGAGUUUUGGGUUAGGAUUACUCGUGAAAUAUGAGAUGGGGUGAAGGGAAAGCAUCGUUUGAGGCUGGAUAGCAGGAGAUAAAAAGCUGAAAAUAAGUCAUGUGCUAUGAAGACAAACAAAACAAAACAAAACAAAAAAAACCAAACCGACUAUGACCUAAGGGAGGAAGGAAGCAAAAAAAGAGAGUCAUCUGGGGGACGUGUUAGGAAGUGUGAUGUCACGCAGAAAGGUCAGGGACGGAGGCUGAGUUUCGCUUUGGACCAGUCAGCAACAGAAGGACAAAUAUUUAUAAAAUAGAAAGUUUUGGUACAAAUGGAUGUGAAUACAUUGAUUGAUUGGCUUCCGCUGCUCCUUUAUUAACACCAAAAAAAAAAAAUAACCAAUCCAGAGGGAAAAACCACAGAAGCUCUGUGAGCACCCUGGUCAAUGUAGCCCUUCCGUGCCUAAGUCAAAUUCUUUAACCUUAGAAUUUUACCUGUGACUCUGUCACCCACUGCUCUCCCAGACUUCCACCCCGCCUCCCGCCAAGGUGGAGCCCACAAGCCUGAAUGCCGCUGUCCCCCACACCCAGUUAUUAUUUCCUUCAUUCCAUGAGCUUAUCAUUAUCAUGAAGCGAGGCCCCUUGCCUGGCCCAUCUGGAGUUGUACACAGGCAGGACACACAUAACUGAAAACUCAAUCAAUGUCAUCAAAUUCCCACCUUGUUCUUGGCUCCCCCCAGCUCUUGCAGUCAAAUAAAUGAAAAAAA